AGAGUUUGAUCAUGGCUCAGGAUGAACGCUGGCGGUAUGCUUUACACAUGCAAGUCGUACGAGAGUUUUUAACUCAAGUGGCGGACGGGUGAGUAACACGUAAGAAUUUGCCUUUAGGAGGGGGAUAACAACUGGAAACGGUUGCUAAUACCCCAUAUGCUUUCGAGUGAAAUGGAUUAUUCCGCCUAAAGAGAAGCUUGCGGCUGAUUAGCUUGUUGGUGAGGUAAUGGCUUACCAAGGCGACGAUCAGUAUCUGGUUUGAGAGGACGAUCAGACACACUGGAACUGAGACACGGUCCAGACUCCUACGGGAGGCAGCAGUGGGGAAUUUUCCGCAAUGGGCGAAAGCCUGACGGAGCAAUACCGCGUGAGGGAUGACGGCCUAUGGGUUGUAAACCUCUUUUUUCAGGGAGGAAUCAAAUGACGUGUACCUGAAGAAUAAGCAUCGGCUAACUCCGUGCCAGCAGCCGCGGUAAGACGGAGGAUGCAAGCGUUAAUCGGAAUUACUGGGCGUAAAGCGUGCGCAGGCGGUUAUAUAAGACAGAUGUGAAAUCCCCGGGCUCAACCUGGGACCUGCAUUUGUGACUGUAUAGCUAGAGUACGGUAGAGGGGGAUGGAAUUCCGCGUGUAGCAGUGAAAUGCGUAGAUAUGCGGAGGAACACCGAUGGCGAAGGC
rnacentral:rRNA from 1 species